GGCAAAGAGGAAGAUAAAUUAGGUUAAAUCAAUUUUGGUUCCUCCCGCCAAUCCUCAAUCAAUCCAAUCUCUCUAUCAAACCAAAAUCACAGCCUCUUGCCUUGCCAUCGUCUCCUCCUCCCGCCAUUGUUAUAUCUUCUUCACUUCACUCCUCUCCAAUUCUUCCCCCUUUUCAAAUCAUUCAAGAAACGCCCCACCAGAUAUGAGUUUUGGUGCUUCUCUAUCUUCAGUCGCCGCCCUGCGCUUUCCUAUUUGUCUCCAUUGUUUUCGAACCCCCAGAACACCCAUUUCCUUCCCUUAUCUAUCCUUAAAUCCUGGAAGUUUGCAUAUCUUUGCGUCGAUGACUUCUUCCUUUACUGCGUCGAUGUCUACUUCCUCACCUCUGGCCCCCGAUCAGCUUGCUGUGGAGGAGAAGAAGCCCGCGCCGCCGCCGAAGCCAUGGCUGAUCGUUGGCCUUGGGAAUCCCGGGAAGAAGUAUGAACGCACGCGCCAUAAUGUAGGUUUUGAGAUGGUGGAUGCUGUCGCUGAGGUUGAAGGGAUAUCCAUGAGUAGUGUUUCCUUCAAAGCUCUUAUCGGGAAAGGUUUCAUCGGGGAUGUUCCUAUAAUGCUUGCCAAGCCACAAACUUUCAUGAAUGCAAGUGGUGAGUCUGUUGGUGCUAUUGUUUCCUACUAUAAAAUUCCAUUGAAGCAAGUCCUUGUGAUAUUCGAUGACUUAGAUUUGCCUUUUGCCAAAUUGCGGAUGCUGCCAAAGGGUGGCCAUGGAGGACAUAAUGGGAUGAGGAGUAUUAUUGAUCACUUGAAAGGCAGUCGUGAUUUCCCUCGGUUAAGAAUAGGCAUUGGGCGCCCUCCCGGGAAAAUGGAUGCUGCGAACUUUGUUAUGCGCCCCUUCAACAAACAAGAACGAGAAGAGUUGGAUUUUACAAUGCAAGUCGGAGUAGACGCAAUACGGAUACUUUUGCUGGAGGGGUUUAACAAAAGUGCAACAUUUGUCAACACCAACAAACCUCUGGAACAAAUAGGCUGAAAACAUUCAGUGUUUAACUUUAAACCUUUUUAUGGACUCUAAUAGGGCUCCAGCCAUUUUGUUUACUGUAUCAAACUGCUUUAGAAACUGCUUUAUACACAGGCGGUAUUUGCUACCAGUUUCAACUCUAUAGCAACAUCCUUGAAAGCUUUGGAUAGGAUUAUGGGGGAGGAAGACAUGACAAUCAGUGUAAUUUUUGAACCCCAUCAAUCAAAGAGACCGAUAAAAGUUGAGAAGGACAGGAAUUGAUAGAACGGAGCAAGCUGCCUCUACGGCUCUACCUAACUUUGAAUGCUUUAAUUAUCUCAUCUUGACAUCACCGAGGGAGGCUAUUCUUUGCCUGUCUUUGUCAUCUUCUUCUCCUUUAUGCAUUUUCUCUGUAGUUUAACCAUUCGCGUCCUCUAUUCUUCAUGUUUGUCUUGCCUGUGUUUUCAGGUUUCUGGUGAAUGCCUUCCCUAUGGAAUUGCCUCAUACGUGGAUGAUUUCAUGCAGGUGGAUCCCACAUAAUUUUGAAUGUACGUCAUAUGCUUCAAAAACUAAUUAUUUCAUGGUAUCUGUGUUUAUUUAUUUAUUUUAAAAUUGAUUCCUACUAUUUUAGAAGUUUUUAUUUAGUAUUUAUGGUUAAGCGUGGCCAUAUGGUUAGGACCAAAUUGGCUUGAAGAUUUAAAAUGUUGAUGUCAACCAAAAUAUUGAUAUUAUGAUGAUGUUGAUGGAUAUUUCAGUAUUA